rnacentral:rRNA from 1 species
UACGUAGGGGGCAAGCGUUGUCCGGAUUCAUUGGGCGUAAAGAGCUCGUAGGCGGCUUGGCAAGUCGGGUGUGAAACCUCCAGGCUCAACCUGGAGACGCCACCCGAUACUGCCAUGGCUAGAGUCCGGUAGGGGACCACGGAAUUCCUGGUGUAGCGGUGAAAUGCGCAGAUAUCAGGAGGAACACCGGUGGCGAAGGCGGUGGUCUGGGCCGACACUGACGCUGAGGAGCGAAAGCGUGGGGAGCGAACAGG